UACGUAGGUGGCAAGCGUUGUCCGGAUUUAUUGGGUUUAAAGGGUGCGUAGGUGGUUUCUUAAGUCAGUGGUGAAAUACGGCAGCUCAACUGUCGAGGUGCCAUUGAUACUGGGAGACUUGAGUACUGAUGAGGUAGGCGGAAUGGACGGUGUAGCGGUGAAAUGCUUAGAGAUCGUCCAGAACACCGAUAGCGAAGGCAGCUUACUAAGGAGUAACUGACACUGAGGCACGAAAGUGUGGGGAUCAAACAGGAUUAGAUACCCUAGUAGU
rnacentral:rRNA from 1 species